rnacentral:lncRNA from 1 species
CUUACAUCAAUGUGGAUGAAUCGUAUAGAAUCAGAGGAUAAGGUCCUCGUUCACUGUGGAGAUCACCAGCUGGAGUAGCUCAUUUUCUGGCUGUGAAAAUGUUAUCAGUCGCGUGGACACAGCCUGACUAUGGAUGUCAGACCCUGGUGCUGACACCUGACAAAGGUCCUCUGCCCUUUGCUUGAAGACCUCCAGUGAUGGGAACUCCAUGCCUUGCCAAGGAAGCCCAUGCUACAUGAGCUAAGACUUGGGGUCUCUGGGCAAGACCCUCCAUGCAACCACUGGGAUUCAGGAAGCAGGUCUCAGAGCACGAACCGCGGCAUCAUUUCAGGUCCCAUACACCGCCUGCACGAGCAGAGAGACCAGCCCGUCAUCGAGACACCGGGACGUGACACUGACUGAUGUACAUGGGCCUUGGAGGCACAACAGCUUCAGUUCCCAUCUUGGUCAUCUGUUGGUUGUGACAUCCCUCUGGGCCCCGUAGAAGGAGGGGGUUGCCUCUAAGUCUCUUCCUGUUCUGAAACAGUAAGCCCUUGAUAAAGAUUGCUUAAAUUUGUCUUCUCGGUCAACCAAGGAGCAUUUGUGUGUGCCAGACACUGUCCCAGGGAUACAGGGGUGAAGGUGAAAUAGGCCUUGCCUUUCUGGGGCUUACGUUCUACUGGAGAAAAACAACCUGGAGAGAUGCAGUGUAUACAGGUGCUGAGGACAUAUGUCCCAAGUCCCUCUCACAGGUGAGCCUUAGGUCUUAAAGCAAGGCUUCUCCAUUGCUGUUGGCUUGAACCCCCACUGGGAUGUUCUCUCCAAUAUUAUCAGUUGAGACUCAGUGUAGUCAGCUGAUGUACUGAGGGGGCAUAGGAAGGACAGCACGUACAAAGUGUCCCUCUAAAAGUCUGUGAAACACCCUCUCAUAUGUACAUGCAGAGUCUAGGGGACAGUGGGGUCCAUCUUAGAAAGUACUCGUGAUACAGGGGUAACCAUGUCACCUGGACAAGACAUCCUUUUCUCCAGUUCAGGGGAUUC